rnacentral:rRNA from 1 species
UACGUAGGUAGCGAGCGUUAUCCGGAUUUACUGGGCGUAAAGCGUCUGCAGUCUGUUUAAUAAGUCUGAUGUUAAAGCCCGGGGCUCAACCCCGGUCCGCAUUGGAAACUGUUAGACUAGAGUUAUGGAGAGGUUAGUGGAAUUUCUAGUGUAUCGGUGGAAUGAGUAGAUAUUAGAAGGAACACCAGUGGCGAAGGCGACUAACUGGACAAUAACUGACGAUCAGAGACGAAAGCGUGGGUAGCAAACAGG